rnacentral:rRNA from 1 species
UACGAAGGGGGCGAGCGUUGUUCGGAAUUACUGGGCGUAAAGGGCGCGCAGGCGGCUCUGAAAGUCAGAUGUGAAAGCCCCGGGCUUAACCUGGGAAUUACAUUUGAUACUCUAGAGCUUGAGUACGGGAGAGGAGAGUGGAAUUCCCAGUGUAGAGGUGAAAUUCGUAGAUAUUGGGAAGAACAUCGGUGGCGAAGGCGGCGCUCUGGACCGAGACUGACGCUGAGGCGCGAAAGCGUGGGGAG